CGACUUCAAAAUAUAAAAUCUUGAUCUUUCUGUUGUUGUUACUCCUACUUUUUAAGAAGCAACAAAAAAAUGGAAUUCUCCAUUUUCUCUCAAAGCUCCAAAGACUUCUGAAAACUACUUCUGAUUUUGAGUGGCAGAGGAGUAAAAAGACCCCUAAACAUGAGGAGAAAGAAGAAUCCGUAGGGCUCUGCUGUCCACGUGGGAUGAGAUUCCAAAAGCACCAUUCUUGUUCAAUCUCCCUCAGAGUCACACAGCCCCAAAGUGCUCAGUAUGAUUCAGAGGCACUGAAAUCUCCCAAAGAAUAAAUAAUAAUAAUAAACCCCAGGUAUGUGGCGCUUUCCACGUUUUGCAGCUGCUGUUUAAUCACGAAGUUUUCCCUUAAAGCCGAGCCCACAGUGAAUUCUCUCCCCGACUCGAUCUCAGCGCCAAUUCCGUCUCUGGCCAGUAGAUGGCACCAUGCAUUCAUUGUACAGGAUGGAGGCCAGAAAGAAGUGAAAUUUCAUCCCAUCAAAAGAGCAUACACCCAAUCUGACACACAAAGGUCAGGAAUUAAAUUCGGAGGGUGCACCUUUCUCCUCGUGUCACCCUUCCAAAAAAAUAAAGGCCGUGGAGCAUGCUGUGCUAUACACUGAGACGCUAUCAGCAGCUGCACCUAACGCGUCCCCAGCUCGCCCUGUCACUGACCUACAUUGCCUUGUGACUUCUUGUGAGAUUAAAACCAAAAAGAUAACCUUUUCUCCAUCCUCCCUAGCUCUGAACAGCGGCACCACCAGAGCAGGUCUCCCCUCCGCUGGAAGAAGUCAGGAACGACCACCUGUGAGUGCAGAGGCCAGGAGGCAGGGCUGGAGAUCCGGCCCCACCGGUUGACCUCACCUGGGGCUUCUGCUCCGUGGACAAAGCCCCAUUAGCUCUGAUACUGCAGCAUUCCAUGAGCUAACCACAGCUUGUUGGCAAGCUGACUACAAAGAGGUGGAGGAAAGUUUACAAGCCACUUUCUGCUGUGCAAACUGCGACACUUCUACCUGGAAUUGUAGAGGCAGCCCCUACCAUGUUGUUCAGCAGUGCCCUUGAACUCCAAGGAGCGUGACAUGAGGCCAGCCAUUGCCACAGCAGCAUCUGCCUGCCAGGAGGCAAGCUGUGCUCAGAGGAGCAGCUCAGCCCACCUGGCUGUCCCCCUUUGCUCCUGGCCCAGCCAAGCUCACCCUAACCAGAGCCAUGGGACAACUGGUUUGGCAGCAGCACUUGCCUGGCACCUCCUUGUGCCCAUCCUGCUGCUGUACGGCUGUCCUGGCAGGUGCUCAGCAUAGAGAAGUGUGCACAGGAGCACGCAAGAGACACGCAAGGUGUGCUCAGCCCCAUCAAAAAUCUACUGCCUCGAAUGUGGGCUUUCUGUGCCCAUACGUAUGAAUGGUGAGUGUGAAAAUCCUGUCCACUUAAGAAGAAUAAUUCAGACAACAGUAUCAACCAUGGCACAGAGCGACAUUUGAAGACAGAGAGCAAAGUAGCACAGGGGGGAAAAGAGAAGCCUAUCUCACACAGCAUGGAGCCAUCCUGUCUCAGGCCAUGGAGAAGGUGCCAUGCAUCUGUCCCCUCAGGGCUCACAAGCCUUUUCUCUACCUGGCCAACCCUCGCUGCUUUCCCAGACUACCCAGCAGACACAGCUCAGGAAUUACCAGCACCAUUAGCAGUGACACCAUUGAUUGAGCAUGAGCAAUACCAGCUUGGAUUUUGCCACCAGUCAGUGCUCAGUAAUGGCACAGCACAAAGGCCCCGCUUGUAGGGUGAGAAGGGCUGUCUGUUGCCUGUCCCUGGAGCAAGGCGUGAGUGGGCUUGACUGAGAUGGCAGCAACUGCACCGUCACAAGCCAUAGUCUUAGGAAAAAGGCAGAACAGUGGAGAUUAAAUGACAGCACUGAAUCAAAGAAUGACUCUCCCCAGAGGCUGGGACAGUCCAGGCUUCCCUGCAACACCUGCUAGAGGCACGCAGGAAGGCCUGGAGCUGUCCCUGGGGAGCUCUGGCAGCCACAGGCCGAGGGGCAGCCUUCAGACACAGCUGCAGGACAGCAGGGCCCACAGCCAGGCAUUGGGCUGCACGUCCGCUUCUCGGCCUGCUGUUAUGGGCUGAAAAACAACCAUGUGCCCUAUGGCUGCUUAGGACACGGCCACCCUUUCCUCUGGCUGCUUCUCCAGCUUACACAGACUAGUAAAAUAAUUUUUUGCAUGAGAAGGAGGCAUGAGAGACAUGAUUUUCACCUGAGAGACGUGGCCUCAGCUGCAGCCUAAGCACCUGCAUAGCCAUGUUUUCCACAGGCAGGGACAGAGCCGAGCCAGGGAAGGCUGAGCAGUGCCUCAGGCCACACAGCGAAGUUAUGAAACAAAAACAAUGACCUGCUUGAAAAUCAGUCUGAAAUACAGCAACCUGCAACUUCUGCUCAGCUCAAACAAACAAAAACAAGGGUUAGCAUUAUACAAUGCAGUGGCAGGGAGGAAGUGGCCAGCAACAAUAUCAACCAAUUUAUGCAGUCAUUCACAUUUGUUAUCAAUGCUAGAUUGCUUCCCUGUAGACUUUCUUCCUCAUCAGGCACCUAUUUCAAUUAUAUUACAAUUUCCUCUCAGCUUCAAGUUGGACAAAAGCUUUUCAAAGCUAGCUGUUUAAAAGUGGAAAACUAUUCUCUUCAGCACGGUUUAGGGAAAAUAAUGCUACUUGUGCUACAGCGUAUUAGCAAUAUACCACUAGGAACUGCACUUAGCAAGAAAAGCUAGUGACCAAAAUACAUCCUUGGGACGCCCAGAGCAUGUGGCUCCUCGUGGCUGCUGCUUCCAAAAGGGAAGCACAGGGCAGCCAGCACCCUGCUGCCACCCCUGCCUCCACCAUGCCCCUUCCACAGCGGAAGGCCUGUAGCAUCACUCUCUGGUUCUCAGAACUGCUGAUAUUCCUGAUUUUAUGUGCACCUGCAGUUGGCUAUUAUUUAGACAGCUUUCGUAUUAUUACAGGGUAGCCAUGACUGACCUCACCGUAAGCACUGCUGAGCAGCUGAGAAAUUCACUGGACAAACAUAAACACACUAUGCAUGGUUUUCGAGCAGUAUUUCGCUGGAAGAAAACAAGGCCAAGCUAAUCAGGUCUUUAUUGCAAUUUAGUGAUUAUCUCUAAAGAUCAAUAACACAGCUCUUCUACCAAACCCACACCUCUCCCCUUCACUCACCAUUUGAAACUGCAUUGCUUCACAGGACUCCACGAGGCACAAUGGGGAAAGAAGCCAGCUGGCAGCAGACCCAAACCCCUGAACUUUUUAUUUUGGAAGAAGAAGUUCUGCAAGCAAAAGAAUCAGGGAGCUGCCUUUGUGCCAUCAGGAGAGCAACCAAUGACCCAGUUCUGCAAAGGAAGCUUCUCAGCAGAGCUGGGACGACUGAGCUGAUUCAGUCUCAGCCUGCCCUGCCGGUUCUCAGUACACGUGCUCUGACUCUUUACUAGUUAGCUAUGCACACACCCCUUCCCACCGUUUUUUUUCUUGUGACUAUUUUGUUUAAGGUUGUCAUCUUCUUAUUACCUUCACAUUUCAAGGCAAUAAUAAAUCAAAAUUAAUAAAAUCUCUCAGAAUAAAAGUCUGCCUUCAAGACCGUAUUCCUCACCUUGUUUUCUGCUUUCCUUCAUCUCUACUGCAACACAAGGAGGAACAAGCAAGAGAAAGAGAUGGUUUACACAGCGACGGCACAGGAAAACAAAUCCACCAGUCUCUGAAGUACUGCUCUUGUCCUCGUUCACAGAAUUAAACUCUAUUCUUAUGGAUCUGCUAAACUCCUGCCUAGUUAAACAGAACGUGGAUUUAAGCAACUACAGCAAUCACACUCCUGCCAGCAAGUUUAAAUUUAAAGAUCAAAAAGCACG
ensembl:lncRNA